rnacentral:rRNA from 1 species
GACGAACGCUGGCGGCGUGCCUAAUACAUGCAAGUAGAACGCUGAAGACUUUAGCUUGCUAAAGUUGGAAGAGUUGCGAACGGGUGAGUAACGCGUAGGUAACCUGCCUACUAGCGGGGGAUAACUAUUGGAAACGAUAGCUAAUACCGCAUAACAGCAUUUAACACAUGUUAGAUGCUUGAAAGGAGCAAUUGCUUCACUAGUAGAUGGACCUGCGUUGUAUUAGCUAGUUGGUGAGGUAACGGCUCACCAAGGCGACGAUACAUAGCCGACCUGAGAGGGUGAUCGGCCACACUGGGACUGAGACACGGCCCAGACUCCUACGGGAGGCAGCAGUAGGGAAUCUUCGGCAAUGGGGGCAACCCUGACCGAGCAACGCCGCGUGAGUGAAGAAGGUUUUCGGAUCGUAAAGCUCUGUUGUAAGAGAAGAACGUGUGUGAGAGUGGAAAGUUCACACAGUGACGGUAACUUACCAGAAAGGGACGGCUAACUACGUG